CGAGAAGAAACCUGACGGUGGUGCAACACUGGCGACGUGGAAACGAUUUGAAACCACUAGAAGAGCACGAACUCAGAUCGUCUCUGAGUGAAGGCCUGAAGGGAAGUGUUGGGGUUUUUUGGACUGGUGUGAGACCAGUAGUUGACCUUUGACAAAUCUGAAAAUGAUGUGCUAUCUUCCAUGCAUGCAGCUAGACUACAGGAGGGGAGGAGGAGCUGCCCCUUUCUUCACGCGCUUAGCCACGUGUGCCUGUCUUUAACUUCUUUCCAAACAAAUCUUACAAUAUUAUUAAGCAUGCAAUUUGAUUCUCUGUUCUUUAA